GGCCGCCUUGGCUGUGGCGCCCUGUGUGUCGGGCUGUCUGGCUGCUUCCUGGGCGUUGGCGGGCGGCGUUCCGGGCCCUUUCCUCCGUGCUCAUGGCCCCGCAGUGCCGGCGCAGGGAGGCCGCGGGCCGGGCCCGAGGAGCGCGGGAAGCCUCCCUGUGGCGCCGAAUUGCCAGAGAUUCAUCCAUUUAAUGGGCUGUUUGAAGAACCAACUAUUGAUUAUGUUGAUCUUACAGGUGUUUGGAAGUAUAUCCUGACACUCAUCUGUCCGUCUCUUGAUUUCACACCAUGGUGAGAGAGAAAAAGUGAGCCUGAGCCUCUCGGUGAUGUGGACUGAGGAGGUGGCAGACAUGGGCUGCUCUGAUACGGGGGGAUGCUGUGGUGAAUAGAAACUGGCUGCUGAGGUGGAAGAACUCUAUCUUUUCUG